rnacentral:tRNA from 1 species
GGCCAGGUAGCUCAGUUGGUAGAGCAGCGGACUGAAAAUCCGCGUGUCGACGGUUCGAUUCCGCCCCUGGCCA